rnacentral:rRNA from 1 species
GCGUUAAUCGGAAUUACUGGGCGUAAAGCGUGCGCAGGCGGUUCGUCGUGUCUGAUGUGAAAGCCCCGGGCUCAACCUGGGAAUGGCAUUGGAAACUGGCGGACUCGAGUGUGGCAGAGGGGGGUGGAAUUCCGCGUGUAGCAGUGAAAUGCGUAGAGAUGCGGAGGAACACCGAUGGCGAAGGCAGCCCCCUGGGCUAACACUGACGCUCAGGCACGUAAGCGUG